rnacentral:rRNA from 1 species
CAAGCGUUAUCCGGAAUUAUUGGGCGUAAAGAGCUCGUAGGCGGCUUGUCGCGUCUGCCGUGAAAGUCCGGGGCUUAACCCCGGAUCUGCGGUGGGUACGGGCAGACUAGAGUGCAGUAGGGGAGACUGGAAUUCCUGGUGUAGCGGUGAAAUGCGCAGAUAUCAGGAGGAACACCGAUGGCGAAGGCAGGUCUCUGGGCUGUAACUGACGCUGAGGAGCGAAAGCAUGGGGAGCGAACAGGAUUAGAUACCCUGGUAGUCCAUGCCGUAAACGUUGGGCACUAGGUGUGGGGGACAUUCCACGUUUCCCGCGCCGUAGCUAACGCAUUAAGUGCCCCGCCUGGGGAGUACGGCCGCAAGGCUAAAACUCAAAGGAAUUGACGGGGGCCCGCACAAGCGGCGGAGCAUGCGGAUUAAUUCGAUGCAACGCGAAGAACCUUACCAAGGCUUGACAUGAACCGGAAUGAUGCAGAGAUGUGUCAGCCACUUGUGGCCGGUUUACAGGUGGUGCAUGGUUGUCGUCAGCUCGUGUCGUGAGAUGUUGGGUUAAGUCCCGCAACGAGCGCAACCCUCGUUCCAUGUUGCCAGCGGGUUAUGCCGGGGACUCAUGGGAGACUGCCGGGGUCAACUCGGAGGAAGGUGGGGACGACGUCAAAUCAUCAUGCCCCUUAUGUCUUGGGCUUCACGCAUGCUACAAUGGCCGGUACAAAGGGUUGCGAUACUGUGAGGUGGAGCUAAUCCCAAAAAGCCGGUCUCAGUUCGGAUUGAGGUCUGCAACUCGACCUCAUGAAGUUGGAGUCGCUAG